AGAGUUUGAUCCUGGCUCAGAACGAACGCUGGCGGCGCGCCUAACACAUGCAAGUCGAACGAGAAGGCGUAGCAAUACGCUUGUAGAGUGGCGAACGGGUGAGGAGUACGUGGGUGACUUACCCUCGAGAGGGGAAUAACUUGCCGAAAGGUGAGCUAAUACUCCGUACGCUUCCGGCUUUGCGAAGCCGGAAGGAAAGCUGUGCCGUUGGGUACGGCGCUCAAGGAUGGGCUCACGUCCUAUCAGCUUGUUGGUAGGGUAACGGCCUACCAAGGCAACGACGGGUAGCUGGUCUGAGAGGACGAUCAGCCACACUGGCACUGCGACACGGGCCAGACUCCUACGGGAGGCAGCAGUGAGGAAUAUUGCGCAAUGGGCGAAAGCCUGACGCAGCGACGCCGCGUGGGGGAUGAAGGUCUUCGGAUUGUAAACCCCUUUCGGGAGGGAAGAUGGGGCGGGCAACCGCUCGGACGGUACCUCCAGAAGCAGCCACGGCUAACUUCGUGCCGGCAGCCGCGGUAAUACGAAGGUGGCAAGCGUUGUUCGGAUUUACUGGGCGUAAA
rnacentral:rRNA from 1 species